rnacentral:rRNA from 1 species
AGAUUGAACGCUGGCGGCAGGCCUAACACAUGCAAGUCGAGCGGCAGCACGGGUACUUGUACCUGGUGGCGAGCGGCGGACGGGUGAGUAAUGCCUAGGAAUCUGCCUGGUAGUGGGGGAUAACGCUCGGAAACGGACGCUAAUACCGCAUACGUCCUACGGGAGAAAGCAGGGGACCUUCGGGCCUUGCGCUAUCAGAUGAGCCUAGGUCGGAUUAGCUAGUUGGUGGGGUAAUGGCUCACCAAGGCGACGAUCCGUAACUGGUCUGAGAGGAUGAUCAGUCACACUGGAACUGAGACACGGUCCAGACUCCUACGGGAGGCAGCAGUGGGGAAUAUUGGACAAUGGGCGAAAGCCUGAUCCAGCCAUGCCGCGUGUGUGAAAGAAAGGGUUCUUCGGAUUGGUAAAAACACUU